CCUACGGGUGGCAGCAGUGGGGGAUAUUGCACAAUGGGGGAAACCCUGAUGCAGCGACGCCGCGUGGGGGAAGAAGGGCCUCGGCGCGUAAAGCCCUGUCAGCAGGGAAGAAAAUGACGGUACCUGAAGAAGAAGCCCCGGCUAAAUACGGGCCAGCAGCCGCGGGAAUACGGAGGGGGCAAGCGUUAUCAGGAUUUACUGGGGGUAAAGGGGGUGCAGGCGGGGGUGCAAGCCAGGAGUGAAAGCCCGGGGCCCAACCCCGGGAGUGCACUUGAAACUGCGGGGCUUGAGUGCAGGAGGGGCAGGCGGAAUUCCUGGUGUAGCGGUGAAAUGCGUAGAUAUCAGGAGGAACACCGGUGGCGAAGGCGGCCUGCUGGACUGCAACUGACGUUGAGGCACGAAAGCGUGGGGAGCAAACAGGAUUAGAUACCCUAGUAGUC
rnacentral:rRNA from 1 species